GACCCGCGUCUGAUUAGCUGGUUGGUGAGGUAACGGCCCACCAAGGCGACGAUCAGUAGCCGGCCUGAGAGGGUGAACGGCCACAUUGGGGACUGAGACACGGCCCAAACUCCUACGGGAGGCAGCAGUGGGGAAUAUUGCACAAUGGGGGAAACCCUGAUGCAGCAACGCCGCGUGAGUGAAGAAGUAUUUCGGUAUGUAAAGCUCUAUCAGCAGGAAAGAAAAUGACGGUACCUGACUAAGAAGCCCCGGCUAACUACGUGCCAGCAGCCGCGGUAAUACGUAGGGGGCAAGCGUUAUCCGGAUUUACUGGGUGUAAAGGGAGCGUAGACAGUUUUGCAAGUCUGAAGUGAAAGCCCGGGGCUUAACCCCGGGACUGCUUUGGAAACUGUAGGACUAGAGUGCAGGAGAGGUAAGUGGAAUUCCUAGUGUAGCGGUGAAAUGCGUAGAUAUUAGGAGGAACACCAGUGGCGAAGGCGGCUUACUGGACUGUAACUGACGUUGAGGCUCGAAAGCGUGGGGAGCAAACAGGAUUAGAUACCCUGGUAGUCCACGCCGUAAACGAUGAUUACUAGGUGUUGGUGGGUACGACCCAUCGGUGCCGCAGCAAACGCAAUAAGUAAUCCACCUGGGGAGUAC
rnacentral:rRNA from 1 species